UACGGGGGGGGCAAGCGUUGUUCGGAAUUACUGGGCGUAAAGGGCGCGUAGGCGGUCAGACCAAGUCGCGUGUGAAAUGCCAGGGCUUAACUCUGGCACGCUCGCGCGAUACUGGUCGGCUAGAGUGUGGAAGAGGAUGCUGGAAUUCCCGGUGUAGCGGUGAAAUGCGUAGAUAUCGGGAGGAACGCCAGUGGCGAAGGCGGGCAUCUGGGCCAACACUGACGCUGAUGCGCGAAAGCUAGGGGAGCAAACAGG
rnacentral:rRNA from 1 species